rnacentral:rRNA from 1 species
GACGUAGGGCGCGAGCGUUGUCCGGAUUUAUUGGGCGUAAAGAGCUCGUAGGCGGCUUGUCGCGUCGAAUGUGAAAACCCACGGCUCAACUGUGGGCUUGCAGUCGAUACGGGCAGACUUGAGUUCGGUAGGGGAGACUGGAAUUCCUGGUGUAGCGGUGAAAUGCGCAGAUAUCAGGAGGAACACCGGUGGCGAAGGCGGGUCUCUGGGCAGUAACUGACGCUGAGGAGCGAAAGCGUGGGGAGCGAACAGG